CCUACGGGGGGCUGCAGUGGGGAAUAUUGGACAAUGGGGGGAACCCUGAUCCAGCCAUGCCGCGUGUGUGAAGAAGGCCCUCGGGUUGUAAAGCACUUUCAGUGAGGAAGAACGCCUGGUGGUUAAUACCCAUCAGGAAAGACAUCACUCUCAGAAGAAGCACCGGCUAACUCCGUGCCAGCAGCCGCGGUAAUACGGAGGGUGCGAGCGUUAAUCGGAAUUACUGGGCGUAAAGCGCGCGUAGGUGGCUUGAUAAGCCGGUUGUGAAAGCCCCGGGCUCAACCUGGGAACGGCAUCCGGAACUGUCAAGCUAGAGUGCAGGAGAGGAAGGUAGAAUUCCCGGUGUAGCGGUGAAAUGCGUAGAGAUCGGGAGGAAUACCAGUGGCGAAGGCGGCCUUCUGGACUGACACUGACACUGAGGUGCGAAAGCGUGGGUAGCAAACAGGAUUAGAUACCCCAGUAGUC
rnacentral:rRNA from 1 species